GUCGAAUCACCUCAAGAGCUGCCAAAAAGAACAGAGUAACUCUAGAAUCCAGGCUUCCAAUGUUAGGGUGGAUGACAGUUUGAAGCCAAGCAAGCCUCAAAAGAAGGUUCAAACCCUGUAAAAUGUCAGGCUCUCUGUACUUCAUUGCUUUCCUUUUGUCACCGCUUGCGAAAUGUCUCACAAACAGCUCCUCGACAUCGUCCGUUAGCCUGAUUGCCUAUUAAGAGGAAGUUUUCAGUCAGAACUCGGAACCUUUGGAGUUUUGGUAGACUGAAAUGCUUCAGAUCUUCUCAAGUGUGCUGUAUGAUUGGAAAAUACCUUGUCGGAGCUAUUAAAGUAGGAGCUCUCCACUACUUUCAGGCAAUGGGAUAAGGAAAGAGGCAUUGGCAGGAACCUUGUCAAAUUUCUUCAAAAUCUUAACAAAAGCCAGCAUGUUCAAGCUCCUGCAACAAGAGUGCUUUCCCUGUCAGUACCCACUCGGCACACAAAGCAGGACAACAUACCAUGCCAUCAGCUAUACCUACCGAUAC